rnacentral:rRNA from 1 species
GCUUGUCUCAAAGAUUAAGCCAUGCAUGUCUAAGUACAAGCCGCUAGUUCGGCGAAACCGCGAAUGGCUCAAUAAAUCAGUUAUGGUUCCUUAGAUCCACUCCAUCCUACUUGGAUAACUGUGGUAAUUCUAGAGCUAAUACAUGCACUCGAGCCUCGACCGAGGCCCCGGCAACGGGGUCGCGGAAGAGGCUCGAGUGCAUGUAUUAGAUACAAAACCAACCCGGGCAACCGGUCCUUUGGUGAUUCAUGAUAACUUUGCGAAUCGCAUAGCUUUAAUGCUGGCGAUGGGUCAUUCAAAUUUCUGCCCUAUCAACUUUCGACGGUAGGAUAGAGGCCUACUGUGGUGAUAACGGGUAACGAAGAAUAAGGGUUCGAUUUCGGAGAGGGAGCCUGAGAAACGGCUACCACAUCCAAGGAAGGCAGCA